AUGUGAGUGUGCCCGAAAGGGAACCUAGACACAGGUGCUGCAUGGCUGUCGUCAGCUCGUGUCGUGAGAUGUUGGGUUAAGUCCCGCAACGAGCGCAACCCUUGUCGUUAAUUGCCACCAUUUAGUUGGGCACUUUAACGAGACUGCCGGUGACAAACCGGAGGAAGGUGGGGAUGACGUCAAGUCCUCAUGGCCCUUAUGGGUAGGGCUUCACACGUAAUACAAUGGCCGGUACAGAGGGCUGCCAACCCGCGAGGGGGAGCAAAUCCCAGAAAGCCGGUCGUAGUCCGGAUUGUUCUCUGCAACUCGAGAGCAUGAAGUCGGAAUCGCUAGUAAUCGCGGAUCAGCAUGUCGCGGUGAAUACGUUCCCGGGUCUUGUACACACCGCCCGUCACACCAUGGGAGUGGGUUUCACCAGAAGUAGUUAGCCUAACCGCAAGGAGGGCGACUACCACGGUGAGAUUCAUGACUGGGGUGAAGUCGUAACAAGGUAACCGU
rnacentral:rRNA from 1 species